AUUGAACGCUGGCGGCAGGCCUAACACAUGCAAGUCGAACGGUAACAGGAAGAAGCUUGCUUCUUUGCUGACGAGUGGCGGACGGGUGAGUAAUGUCUGGGAAACUGCCUGAUGGAGGGGGAUAACUACUGGAAACGGUAGCUAAUACCGCAUAACGUCGCAAGACCAAAGAGGGGGACCUUCGGGCCUCUUGCCAUCGGAUGUGCCCAGAUGGGAUUAGCUAGUAGGUGGGGUAACGGCUCACCUAGGCGACGAUCCCUAGCUGGUCUGAGAGGAUGACCAGCCACAAUGGAACUGAGACACGGUUCAGACUCCCUAGGGAGGGAGGAGUGGGGAAUAUUGGACAAUGGGCGGAAGGCUGAUGCAGGCAUGCCGCGUGGAUGAAGGAGGCCUUCGGGUUUUAAAGUACUUUCAGCGGGGAGGAAGGGAGUAAAGUUAAUACCUUUACUCAUUGACGUUACCCGCAGAAGAAGCACCGGCUAACUCCGUA
rnacentral:rRNA from 1 species